CAGCGCCGCCCCGUCCCGGUGUCACCUCUGGGGACGACGCCGACGCCGUGAUGGAUUCCCCGGGACUCGGCAGCGGCGCCGACGGAGCCGGGAGCGCGCCGGGAACGCCGGGAGGCCAGGGGCUCCGGAAGGGCCGCGCCGGGAUCCGGGAGCAGCCGGGAAAGGCGGAAUUCCGGCCGGAGCCCAAGGGGCAGGAGCGGCCAGGGCCGGGCGGGGCCCGGAUCCAGCCGGGUUUUCCCUUUGGAUCCUACGAGCCCUCGGUGGCCUC